rnacentral:rRNA from 1 species
CACGGGGGGGAGCAAGCGUUGUUCGGAAUCACUGGGCGUAAAGGGCGUGUAGGCGGCCAACUAAGUCAGACGUGAAAUCCCUCGGCUUAACCGGGGAACUGCGUCUGAUACUGGAUGGCUUGAGUUUGGGAGAGGGAUGCGGAAUUCCAGGUGUAGCGGUGAAAUGCGUAGAUAUCUGGAGGAACACCGGUGGCGAAGGCGGCAUCCUGGACCAACACUGACGCUGAGUGAGCGAAAGCCAGGGGAGCAAACGGG